rnacentral:snoRNA from 1 species
AGACCAUGAUGAAGGCACCGCCUAAGCAAGUCCUUGUAUCUUUCCUAGGCCCCGUACAAUGAUUCAAAAUCUAGUUGAAUGAAAGAUGUGAUAUCAUUCCUUAUUUU